ACCUUAAGAUGAGAACCUCCAUAUAAUGAGAACCUCUAAUACCCGUUAGAUUAAAAUAAAAUGGACGGUUGAGAUAAGAAGCUACUCCCUCUAUGUUUAUUUAAGGGAUACAUUUGCCUUUUCUAGCCGUAUUUAUUUAAGAGAUACACUUGCCAUUUUUAGUAACUUAUCAACCCCACCAUCUAAUUAAAUAAUAUAUCUACACCUUAUCCCUACCCUCCACUCCCUAAAAUGACAUGGUCCUCACUUAUUUUUCUUAUUAAAAUAUCUAUUCAACCCCACUUCUUUUAUUACUUUAUUUCAUUCAAUUCUUUUUCUUAAUACCCGUGCCCGGCCAAGUGUAUCUCUUAAAUAAAUAGGGAGGGAGUAUUAGAUAAUUGAAGUUUGCUCCAUCAUAACGCGGGCAUCACUUUCUCUCUCUACUUCACAAAACAACAUGUUAAUUUCUCUCUGUUCACAACACUAUACUCUUCAAAUUUCUUCCAAUUUCAGGAAAUUGUCCCUAAAUUAGGUGUAGUUUGUCUUCUUAAUCUGCAAUUUCACCCGAAUUAUUCAAAAAGUUGAUUCAAUUCUGGAGUUCGUCAAACAUUGGAAUUAAAUUCGAAGUUGCUUGUGCUAUGCUCAAAUUCUUCACACCAAUCUGCAAAUCAAUUAGUAAAUCAGCCCAUCACAGGGUAUGGAGUGUCCAUACAAACUCCGGUGCGUUGGGACUCCACCUAGAAACAAAAUGGGCCAAUGUGUUACCCGCUCUAUGAACGUGAGUACAUGAAAAGGAUUCAAAGCUACUCUUUAAUCUACCAAUAUCCUCAUAAAACAAUACCAAAGGAGAAAAUCCAUCUAUGCCAUUGUUGAUUGACCUUACUACGUUUGCUGCAUCACAUUCCAAGACAAACUUCAAGUAUCUGCCCCUGCAAGCCAACUGCAUCCCAAACUUAGCUGCUGCAAGCCAAUUAUGCUGGUUUCUUCAACAAUUUUGGGCUUAAUUGAAGGUUAGGUCUCUAAUUUUUGCAAGUGAAUUUGCUGGAGGUGUCUCCAAGGCUGCUAGCACUCAUUAAAUUUCCAGAAACAAUCUUGGGACUUGCUUCAGAGCUGUUGGAAGCGUCUAGUUGUUGCAGUCAUUGUGUCAGACCUGAUAAUGUGUGGAUGCAGUAAAGUUGUGGUGUAUUGGUGGUUUUUGGGAGGUUGUGUGCCUGCGUGCUAAGGUAGGUGAUGGCCCAAGUAUAAACUGUACCCAACUUAUGACUUUCCAGGUCCGUUUGUUGAUAAUUCGGAGGGCAUAACACAUGUACUUCGGUCAAAUGAAUACAUUGACCGGGAUGAUCAGUAUCACUUGAUCCAGGAGGAUAUGAGAUUUUAAAAGUUGUAUAUUUAUGAGUUUAGCAGACUGCGUAUGGUCUAUAUGCUUAUGAGCAAGCGUAAACAUCUGUGGCUUGUGCAAAAUGGUAGAGUUGAUGGAUGGGAUGAUCCUAGUUUACCAACUAUCCAAGGGAUGAUGCGCAGAGGUCUUAAGAUCGAGGCAUUAAUCCAGUACAUUCUUGAGCAGGUAUAACUCGUUUGUUUUUCUCAAAACCUGUGCUUUACUAAACUGCAUCUUACAUUCUGUAUUGAAAAUUUUCAAGUUGAAAAAUGCAUAUCUUUUGCUGGUAUGUAACUAUGUAUAUGUUACUCAUGCGAGCUUAAAUAUUUUCCUUUUCUUGUUGUACUGCCGGGGGCUUCCACAAAUCAAAAUCUGAUGGAAUGGGAUAAAUUGGUGCUUAAAAGUAAUUAAAUAAUGAGUAAAAGUAGAUUAAUUAAGCUUAAAAGUAAAUAUUCUAAAUGAUAGAUCUUUGAGUUACAAGAGAUGGUUAUGCUAAUUGGAUGGAUGCAUCAAUUAUGUUUUCUAUAAGUUAAGGGGAGUAAAAUUGACUAGUAGGUCAAGAAAUUGUGGGGAGCUUGUUCUUUACGGUGAUGAAAUUCAUUUCUGGAGGUAUUUUUGUUUAUCAUAUUACUACCAUGCGUCAAGUACAAGUUUACAUAGGUAAGUUGCCUGAAAUAGUCUCUCAUAAAGUAGUAUUUUCUCUUAUUUUAAAAAGUAGAUAGAAACUUGGUAGAAGUAAAUCAAAUAGGUUCAGAAGUAAAUUCGUGAAGAUGAUGGUGUUCUAUGUUGUUCUCUGCUGCUUUCAUUUGUUUCUGCUGGUCUUUUUUGUGUCUGUUCUAAAUCUGGGGUGCAGAGCUGGAUGUUGGGGUUGUUUCCACUGCUCCGGAGUGUACAAUUCUCGGCUGUUGUUCAGUUGGUGUUUAGUUGGUGUUGAUGUGUGUUUGUUCACUUUUCAUUUGUAAAAUGAUGCAGUUACAUCACUUAUAUUUUUCUCUUAAACGUUUUCUGAAAACCUAUUAGCCUCAACUGGUAGAGCACUAUGCAAAUGCAUAUGGAUGUAGGUUCGAUUCCUACAUAGGUUGUCUGAAAGUACAUUUUAAAAAACUCAAAACUAAACAAAAUAAACUCAAAAGUAAAUCAAAGUAUCUCAAAAGUAAAUCAUAAUAACUCGAAAAUAUCUAAAAAUCUUAGAAGUAAAACCCCAACUGAAACAUUGCUUCACCAAAACAAUAAAACAAAACACAAGAACUUACGGGGAAAAUAACAUCAGUGUUCAAACGAUAAACAACCUUCUCAUUUCUUCAGAGCAUCUGCACACCACAUUAAACAAAAUUCUCUUGACAACAGUUUGUUGGUUCUCCUUGCUAGCCUGAAAAAUUCUCCUGUUUCGCAAAGUCAAUAAGCCAUAAAUGGUUUCAGCAAAACAAACAACAUAAAUCUUCUGUUUUAUUUUUUUCUGCCUACAAGCUUGAGCAACAAUCUUAACUUCCUCCUCAAAGGCCUGAAUCUGUCUGCUAGCAUCCAACAAAAACAAAAUUUUGCUCCAAAUUUCAGAAGUAAACUCACAUUGAAAGAAGAGGUGAGACAUGGUCAAAUAGUUCAAAGUGGCAAAUGAUUGAGCAAGACUUUUAUCUCUCUACGAUAUGAAACAAACUAUAAGAAAGAAAUAUAUGGUCAUAUGUCAAAGUAAAGGUUUUCAACUUAAAAGUAAAUAAAACAAUACAAAAAGUAAAUAAAAAUAGAAAACUCCUAUUAUUGGAGUAUAGGUUAAAGUAAAGGUUUUUCAAUUAAAAGUAAAUAAAAAUAGAAAACUAGAAAACUCCUAUUAUUGGAGUAUAGGUUAAAGUAAAGGUUUUUCAAUUAGAAGUAAAUAAAUUAAUAAAAAAUAAACAUGAACCUACUUGGGAUUCGAACCCACAUAUUUUGAUGCUCUACCAAUUUAGCUAGUAGGCUUGUUAAAUAAAAGUAAUUAAAAACCACAAAAAGUAAAUCGAAAUAAUUCAAAGUAAAGGUUUUCACAUUAAAAGUAAAUAAAACAAUACAAAAAGUAAAGAUGGACCUACGUGGGAUUCGAACCCACAUAUUUUUACUUAUUAAUUAAACAGUGUGUAAUACUUUGGGUAUAGGGAAGGGGUGACAUCGGUAAUGCAUAAUCAGUUUGUUAGG